rnacentral:rRNA from 1 species
AAUCUUCCGCAAUGGACGAAAGUCUGACGGAGCAACGCCGCGUGAGUGAUGAAUGNCUNNGGCUCNUNAAACUCUGUUGCUAGNNNNNAACAAGUACCGNUCGAAUAGGGCGGUACCUUGACGGUACCUAACCAGAAAGCCACGGCUAACUACGUGCCGGCAGCCGCGGUAAUACGUAGGUGGCAAGCGUUAUCCGGAAUUAAUGGGCGUAAAGCGCGCGCAGUCGGUUUCUUAAGUCUGAUGUUAAAGCCCACGGCUCAACCGUGGAGGGUCAUUGGAAACUGGGAAGCUUGAGUGCAGAAGAGGAGAGUGGAAUUCCAUGUGUAGCGGUGAAAUGCGUAGAGAUAUGGAGGAACACCAGUGGCGAAGGCGACUCUCUGGUCUGCAACUGACGCUGAGGCGCGAAAGCGUGGGGAGCGAACA